GUGUACAACCAAAUCAUCCUGAGUGUACCAGACCUCUUCGAAUCUCAGGAGCAAAGCAGGCCUGAGCCUGCCACGUACUUGGAUGGGAGACUGCCUGGUAAUACAAAGUGCUAUAGGCU
rnacentral:rRNA from 1 species